UGUCGAUGAGAUAGCACAGCUAGUCGACUUGUAGCUAGCCAACGCAGUGGUUGUGAAAACCGAAACGGAUAUAUGUUUAAAUCCUACUAUAAGUUUGCUGACACUUUCAGCGUUAAGCUUAAAGUACAGUUUAAAAAGACGUUCUAAAAGUUGACUCAUAUAAGAAACUACUUCAAAUGUAUAUGACAGUCUUAGUCAUCUGCAUCAGCUGGUUGAAGAGGACUGUGAUGUAAAGAGACUAUAAAGCCUGUGACGGGACUUUUGUCAACAAACCACAAGAAGUGAUACUUUUUCCCAAAGGCACUUUUUUGUAUGUUCCGAUGUUGAGAUUUCAUAAUUCACGACAGACCGCUUAACAUAUGAUUACUUUAUCAGAACAUGUGAUUAAACACGUAACUCUGGGUGAAUAUCAACGACCUCAACGAACAUGUCUUUAUCCGCAGGAUGGUCAAGUGCUUCGUUUUCCUGUCACGUGCAAGAUGGAUAUGAUUUAGUAACUUUGAUUGCAUAAAGACGCAGUUCGCCAUCUACAGAUACUCUUUCUUAUAACGGCUACGGAUAUAAAUCGAAACAGACGCAGAAGGAUUUUGCAUUUGCUGUACAUCUGAAAACUUGUAUGUUUCAUCCCAGUUUUCACAAAUAUGAUUCCAGUUAUCCGCAGAGAAACACGAUCUGACAACAAAAGCAAAGUCACAUUGCGAUAUCUGCCGUGUCCACCGAGGAUAAUCGAUCCCCGGCUUUAAGUGUUUUAAGUCCGUAAACUGUCAACUGUCCCACCAGGGAAUUGGAGCUUAAGACUAUUUUUCAUCAAGUACAUCAAUGACCGAAAGCUGCUGGCUCUACUAUAGGCCUACCAUCAUGAGUAACUGAAGUGCUAACGAGCCCUGAUGAUAAGCUAAGAGUUAUAGGUUAAUUCUAAAUCAACGCAGCGGUUUCUCUCUUACCGAGUAAAUUAAUUUGGUCUCCGGGAGUUCAGGCCACUUGGGGAUCUGAAAGUAGGAAGCAAGCGGAAUGGUGACUCAGUACCGGCGAACGGUGGGGGCAACCUCGAAACACUAUAUGUGGACACCGAAAGCAAAGGGACAGAGAGCAAGCACGUGUCAUUUCAGUUACACACGGUACACGAUGAUGAUGAGAGGGUGAAGUGGAGUUCUAGAACAGAAUGUUCCAAAACAAGACAGUGGUUUAGUGGUCGACAAAUGAGGGCCUCAGUAGGUUUAUUAAUACAUCAUCUAUGAACUACACCUUCUACAAACAGUGUGGGCCAAGAAGAAUAGUCAUCUGCUACUAAACAAGAGCUGUCUUAAGGAGGAUCAGCUGAAGAAGAUGACUGCCACAAUAUCCAUUUGUUCUCAGUGACACAGCCUUCUGGUGUCUGCUUACCUGAUCUCCAUAAAAUGCCGAAAGAGUUACGUUACGGGUACUUCUGGCACAUCCUGCAGUACUAAGUUACAGUACCUGCCACUGAGGGUAUUCCCUUGUCUGGUUGUUGGACUGUAAUGUCGGUCUAGUAUUCCAAGUCAGUUCUCGCUAGAAAGACACCAAAGAAUAACUGAUGCUGUUGUAUUUACACGAUCACAACGAGGCAAAUCUGUUUGUCGUGUUUUCUUUCAAAGAUAUACUCGGCAGUUCCUGUUAACUCGAAUGAUAUCGUGGUAAACAAGUUUGUUGAGGGUCUGACCAGUGAGAUAUUCCAUCUUUAAUCAAGGUUAUGUCAUAGGCUAUCCAAUACGAGGUGGUAAUACAAGAUCCAUAGGUUGUAAGGAAAAAGACCUAUUACACUGCAGAAGUCGAAACACCUAGACCAACAUCUAUUCUUAACCUUCUACCAAAUGCUGCAGAAGAUAGACACAGAUCUGGACUAUUGUUGUAACGUGAGUUUCAACUGUCCAGAAGUGGGAUCCAUAUUAUGGCCAAAUUAUUACUUUAAAUGGAAGGAUAAAUCAGCAAUUUGCCCCAAAGAGUACUGAAAAACAGUUUUCCCCAGCCAAAUCUUUCCCAAACAAUAAUGAUACACUGUUAAUUGCCAAAGUAAAUUUUACUUCAACUACAACUGGUCUCGAAACUAGGUCUGAUGCUAAAUAAAUGUUAUGAAAAGGAACAUCAACAAAGCCACCCUCAAUACCCUGAGCA